GACGAACGCUGGCGGCGUGCUUAACACAUGCAAGUCGAACGGAAAGGCUCCAGCUUGCUGGAGUACUCGAGUGGCGAACGGGUGAGUAACACGUGGGUAAUCUGCCCUGCACUCUGGGAUAAGCCUGGGAAACUGGGUCUAAUACUGGAUAUGACCUUUCUCCUUAUGGGGUUUGGUGGAAAGUUUUUCGGUGUAGGAUGAGCCCGCGGCCUAUCAGCUUGUUGGUGGGGUGAUGGCCUACCAAGGCGACGACGGGUAGCCGGCCUGAGAGGGUGAUCGGCCACAUUGGGACUGAGAUACGGCCCAAACUCCUGCGGGAGGCAGCAGUGGGGAAUAUCGCACAAUGGGCGGAAGCCUGAUGCAGCGACGCCGCGUGAGGGAUGACGACCUUCGGGUUGUAAACCUCUUUCAGCAGGGACGAAGCGUAAGUGACGGUACCUGCAGAAGAAGCACCGGCUAACUAUGUG
rnacentral:rRNA from 1 species